UACGUAGGGUGCGAGCGUUAAUCGGAAUUACUGGGCGUAAAGCGUGCGCAGGCGGUUCUGAAAGUCAGCUGUGAAAGCCCCGGGCUUAACCUGGGAAUUGCGGUUGAAACUACAGGGCUAGAAUCUGGCAGAGGGGGGUGGAAUUCCACGUGUAGCAGUGAAAUGCGUAGAGAUGUGGAGGAACACCGAUGGCGAAGGCAGCCCCCCUGGGCCAAUACUGACGCUCAUGCACGAAAGCGUGGGGAGCAAACAGG
rnacentral:rRNA from 1 species